rnacentral:misc_RNA from 1 species
AACAUCGCGCACCUGCGGGAACCUGCGGAAGGAUCAUUGCAAGUGACCCCGGUUUACCACCGGGAUGUUCAUAACCCUUUGUUGUCCGACUCUGUUGCCUCCGGGGCGACCCUGCCUUCGGGCGGGGGCUCCGGGUGGACACUUCAAACUCUUGCGUAACUUUGCAGUCUGAGUAAACUUAAUUAAUAAAUUAAAACUUUUAACAACGGAUCU